GGGAGUAUAGUUAAUAAUAACAUUUAAUUUGCAAUUAAAAGGAACUUUUAGUUACUCUCA
rnacentral:tRNA from 1 species